CGGAGACAAGAGCAUGAUGAGCCUGCGGAUACAUUCCCAGAUUCAACAACUCAUGAUUUCUAAUUUGGCCACAGUGUAUAUGUGUUAAUGAUAAUGUCCUCAGAGUCAGAAUCACAUUGUGAUGUCACUCACACCCCACAGCCAGGAGGUGUCCACAGCAUGAUCUCUUCACCGGGAUUGGGAUGAAAACACCAGUCAUCACCCAGCAGAUGUUGCUUCUCUACUGAGGACCCUUCAACUUGUUCACUGUUUCAAAGCUGAAGCUGCAAUUUGCAAAGUCGCAUUCUCCCGAAGGCUUUCCCACCUGGGCCUUGCCGAGGAACAUAGAGUAUCAUCCCACCGACUGCUGGCAUUUGGCCCUGCGCCCACACAGCCCAGCGCUCUGCCUACCUGUGUCCAGAGCCUGAACUCAGCUUGGCACUGGCUUUCUAUCCACCUUCUGCCCAGCAGUGAAUGGAGUCAACUCUCCCAUUAAUGGAGCACCCUCUGGGAGAAGGGCACUGUGUUUUCUGCUGAGCACUAGGACCUUCACAAUCUUCACAGAGCAACAAAUCAGAACUCAGCGAGAAGAGCAAUGCCAAAGAGGAGGCCUAGCGUGCAGACACACAUGAGCCUAGAGCAGCUGUGCCCACCCCAUGCCUCUACUGUUGACUCCGUGAGGACAGCUGUCUUUGAGAGUAGAGACGGUAGGGUUCUAGAGAAGAAGCAGGUCUGUUAAGCAAUCUGCGAGAUGGCCGGCCUCAGACCAAUCAAAGUCUACCAUUUUGUCUUAUCUAUCUAGAACCAUAACUCAAAAAUGAAAUUGCCCCAGCUUUUCUCCUCCCACCAUUAAAUUCCAUUCAAUCAUAGCAGGCGAAAUGCAGUCACGCUCAAGCAGCCAGAUGUUAUCAUUACAGACUGCUCUUUAUAAACCCAUGCUGAAACCUGAGUGGUUGAUGAGACCAGCUAAGCAGUUGUACCUUUGACCCAAUUGCAUUAAACUUGCCCUAUCAAUUUAAGCUCAGUAUAAACACCAUUUCCCAGAGCCCCUCGUGAAGUCAGCAGUGAGAAGAAGCUGACUAAGCCUAAACAUUUUUUAACAGCAAUCUUGUCUUACAACACCAAGGGGAUUUGCUGGGUAUCUGGGGCUUUAUAAAACCAUAUGAACAUGCUGAAAGAAUUAAAAUCCUUUAAAAAUGAAAAAUUGAUGGUGAC
rnacentral:lncRNA from 1 species